rnacentral:rRNA from 1 species
AUUGAACGCUGGCGGCAUGCUUUACACAUGCAAGUCGAACGGUAACAGGCCGCAAGGUGCUGACGAGUGGCGAACGGGUGAGUAAUGCAUCGGAACGUGCCCAGUCGUGGGGGAUAACGCAUCGAAAGGUGUGCUAAUACCGCAUACGAACUGAGGUUGAAAGUGGGGGACCUUCGGGCCUCACGCUAUUCGAGCGGCCGACGUCUGAUUAGCUAGUUGGUGAGGUAAAGGCUCACCAAGGCGACGAUCAGUAGCGGGUCUGAGAGGAUGAUCCGCCACACUGGGACUGAGACACGGCCCAGACUCCUACGGGAGGCAGCAGUGGGGAAUUUUGGACAAUGGGCGCAAGCCUGAUCCAGCCAUGCCGCGUGUCUGAAGAAGGCCUUCGGGUUGUAAAGGACUUUUGUCCGGGAGCAAAUGCUGGUGGCUAACAUCCACCGGAGCUGAGAGUACCGGAUGAAUAAGCACCGGCUAACUACGUGCCAGCAGCCGCAGUAAUAC